CAGUAGCCGCGGUAAUACGUAGGGGGCAAGCGUUGUCCGGAAUUAUUGGGCGUAAAGCGCGCGCAGGCGGUUUUUUAAGUCUGGUGUCUAAGUGCGGGGCCCAACCCCGUGACGCACUGGAAACUGGGAGACUUGAGUGCAGAAGAGGAGAGCGGAAUUCCACGUGUAGCGGUGAAAUGCGUAGAGAUGUGGAGGAACACCAGUGGCGAAGGCGGCUCUCUGGACUGUAACUGACGCUGAGGCGCGAAAGCGUGGGGAGCAAACAGGAUUAGAUACCCCUGUAGUCCCUGUCUCUUAUACA
rnacentral:rRNA from 1 species